GUGAACAAAGUUUUGUACGGAACACUAAAAACCGGCCAAAUGAAAGUAGGCAAAUACAGGCACAAUUAAAACUAAAUACACAUAAGAACUUCAGAAUUUUGUACACUAUAUCGUCAAAAUUUUAGUCACGUCAGAUGACCAGAUUAAACGUGACAGUCCAAUUCUAAACUACCUACUCAUGUUACCUACUACAAUAUUCAAGUUGCAAUUUAGAUAACUGCACAGUCAGUUUCUUAUUUACAAGACAAUACACCGAUAACUUGACCUGCUAAUUAAUACAGUUAAGAGUUUUUUUUUUCGAGCCGAUAUAAAACUACGAUACGAGACUAAUCUGACGAUAUAGACUUUUUAAAUGAAAUGUAUAUAUGAGAAAUGUAGGCCAAAUUUAGUGUAAAAAUCAACUUAAUACGACGAUGCUUCCAUCCAUAUUACAACGUGCUUUUAAACGUAGGUUUAAUAAAUCUGUAACGAUUUGUUUUGUUUACAGUUUUUACACAAAACACCGAUUAGCUCCGUCCAAUUAAAUUGUUAAUAUGUCAAUUGUUCAAAUAAGUAUAUACCUAUCCUCACCCUUAUUGUAAUUCAGAUACAGUUUGAAGUUAUUAGGAGAGCUCUAGUAAAGCUGGUUAUACCUAUUAAUAGUAAAACACAUCGCACUAUGCUCUUCAAGCGUAAUUGCGCAUAAAUACCUGUUUGAAGCAAAAUGUAUUAUUAUUUAACUAUUACAUUGCGCAGGCCAUUGCAAAAUAGCCAGCCAAAGUAAUAUAGCUGAAUUAUGCCUACCCUGUGGUUUCGGUGAAUAUUAGUGCUGGACUGUUGGUGCAUCAUAUACUCUAAACAUUUCUCGAAUGUCCUCCUCCUGACGACUAGGUGUCAAAAUUUAGUAGGACGCAAGUCGUCAGGAGACUAGUAUUAUUGUGUGAUAUUUUUGAUUUGAAUAUUCAUCGAGCGAACUUUAUUUAAUCGUGUAAAGAUAUAUUAAAGUUGUAAAUUAACUAGUGAAUUUCCUUUAAUGAUUACACUACUACAGUGUUUAGUUUUUCUUAUUGGCUAAUCCACUUCACAGCGUACUUGACACAAAAGCAAUUGUUAGGUUUACCACAAAACACAGAAAUGACCACGUAGUAAAAAGAAGUUAGAAUCUUAGAGGUCCAAAGGAUUAUCGACUAUCUUUAUUAACUAUAGAUAUAGAUUACAAUAAUAAGUUAAGAACCACGCCUGGCGUCUACCGUCUACCCGAUAAGUGACCAUUCUCAUAUUAGUUUAUUACGUGGUCAUUUCCAUGUUUUGAGGUAAACAAAACAAUUGCUUUUUGUGUUCUCAAGUACGGUGUGAAUUGGAUUGGCCAAAAAGAAAAACGAAACACUAUUACUUACUUAAAUUUCUCUUAAUACAUAUAAAUUCAAAUUAAAAGUACCACAAAUCAGCUUGGACCAAACCAUAGGAAGUAAGCAGUUUAAAGGGCUAAUCAAUCUAAUCAUGGAAUAAAUUCAACAUUUUUUAACAAGAUAAUUAGUUCAAAGAAUUUACAAUGCACCAAUCUAAGUAAAAUCUUCGCCAAACCACGAUGAGAGCCGCAGAGUAAAGUCAAACCAGGUAUAUUUUGCGAAACGUUGCCAAUAGGCAAAUAAGUACCUGUCAAACAAUCUAACUCAUCCAAUUGUUAUGUAAUAUUUACUACAUACCGUGUACAGUAUUGAUUUGUAAUAAAUUUUCCAGUAAACAACAUUUGUAAAGAAUUUAAAUGAUUAUAUACUUAUGGCUUCAUUCCUAUCAAAAUAAAACAAUUCGAAAUAA